rnacentral:tRNA from 1 species
GGGGGUGUAGCUCAGUUGGCUAGAGCGUUUGAAUGGCAUUCAAAAGGUCGCCGGUUCAAUUCCGACCACCUCCAC